UUCGGGGUCAGCGGCGGACGGGUGAGUAACGCGUGGGAACGUGCCUUCUGGUUCGGAAUAACCCUGGGAAACUAGGGCUAAUACCGGAUACGCCCUUUUGGGGAAAGGUUUACUGCCGGAAGAUCGGCCCGCGUCUGAUUAGCUAGUUGGUGGGGUAACGGCCUACCAAGGCGACGAUCAGUAGCUGGUCUGAGAGGAUGAUCAGCCACACUGGGACUGAGACACGGCCCAGACUCCUACGGGAGGCAGCAGUGGGGAAUAUUGGACAAUGGGCGCAAGCCUGAUCCAGCCAUGCCGCGUGAGUGAUGAAGGCCUUGGGGUUGUAAAGCUCUUUUAUCCGGGACGAUAAUGACGGUACCGGAGGAAUAAGCCCCGGCUAACUUCGUGCCAGCAGCCGCGGUAAUACGAAGGGGGCUAGCGUUGCUCGGAAUCACUGGGCGUAAAGGGCGCGUAGGCGGCGUUUUAAGUCGGGGGUGAAAGCCUGUGGCUCAACCACAGAAUGGCCUUCGAUACUGGGACGCUUGAGUAUGGUAGAGGUUGGUGGAACUGCGAGUGUAGAGGUGAAAUUCGUAGAUAUUCGCAAGAACACCGGUGGCGAAGGCGGCCAACUGGACCAUUACUGACGCUGAGGCGCGAAAGCGUGGGGAGCAAACAGG
rnacentral:rRNA from 1 species